AUUGAACGCUGGCGGCAGGCCUAACACAUGCAAGUCGAGCGGCGGCGGGAAAGUAGCUUGCUACUUUUGCCGGCGAGCGGCGGACGGGUGAGUAAUGCCUGGGAAAUUGCCCAGUCGAGGGGGAUAACAGUUGGAAACGCCUGCUAAUACCGCAUACGACCUACGGGGGAAAGCAGGGGACCUUCGGGCCUUGCGCGAUUGGAUAUGCCCAGGUUGGAUUAGCUAGUUGGUGAGGUAAUGGCUCACCAAGGCGACGAUCCCUAGCUGGUCUGAGAGGAUGAUCAGCCACACUGGAACUGAGACACGGUCCAGACUCCUACGGGAGGCAGCAGUGGGGAAUAUUGCACAAUGGGGGAAACCCUGAUGCAGCCAUGCCGCGUGUGUGAAGAAGGCCUUCGGGUUGUAAAGCACUUUCAGCGAGGAGGAAAGGUUGAUGCCUAAUACGUAUCAACUGUGACGUUACUCGCAGAAGAAGCACCGGCUAACUCCGUGCCAGCCGCCGCAGUAAAAC
rnacentral:rRNA from 1 species